CGGGGGUGGGGAUAUACCGUGUCUGUAUGGAAUAAAUAAUCCUUCUCUUCCAGGUUGGUGAGAACGUGUUUUCUCUACCCCGGAGUCCCCCGCACGCAAAAAUGUCCCUUGACCCCCAGAUCUUGCAGUAGCGAUGGCUCAGGGGCAGUGUCCAGGAGUGCCAGGGCAGAAGGGCCACCUCAGCAGCAUCAAUUCCCAGGCUGCUUCAGGGUUAAUAAGGUUUUCUGUAUUGCGGGGAUUACAGGAAUCGAACUCUCUCCACAACCUGUUUUAAUGAUAACUAAAUAAUAUGGUAUUAGGGAGCACCACAAGGGGAAGGAAGAGGAACGAAAGAUGCUGGAGUUGGGUCAUUCCCAAGGCUUGGAGCCUGCGAGGUCCACUGACUCACGGGGGAAAAGGCUGUAGCACAGACGUGCAGCUCCUGCGCACAGUGGUGAAUCGCAGGUCACCUCCCUCCAGUUUGUGCUAUGGGGAGUAAGGUUGAAAAUGUUUCUAAAAGCGUUUACUUUUUCCUCUGGAGGGAGAGAAGAGUAAAACUGAAUCAUUCCUUUUCAAAGUUUGAGAAGUGUUUUGUUUCAAGAAGAAAUAAGUAGAUUUUUUUUUCAGUAAGAAGUUUGCAGGAAACUUCAGGAAUCUUUUGUAAGGGCUUGUAGCGUCUUGGAAGCUGGAGUCUUUCUUUAUAUACAUACAGCACUUGCGUAACAAUGUCUUAACUGUGAAUGAGAUUCCUAGGUGCAGUUGCAAUAAACUGAUUAAUAGUAUCAUUCAUGGUAUCAUACCUCAUUCAUAUGUUCAGUGUAAGUAAAGAGGAAUUACAUUGGCAGGAGUAUAGCAGUCGUGACUUCAAACACGAUACUCUUGGAGGGAAAAGUUACAGCUAAAGCAUGCACCACUGGGCAGUGCAAUUGGUAAAGCUGCAAAAAAUGCUCAAGAAAAUAAUUUUUGGAGUAAAAAGCAGCAAAAACAAGCUCACAAAGAGCUAGUGCUGGGCAGGUCUGUGGCACGGAAAAAGCAAGGUGGGUAAAGUUACCCAGUUAGUCAAACUGAGGGUGGAAAAUAAGAAGGAGACAUGUCUGUCAGAGGGAUUGGUCAGGGAUGACCCCUACUUACGCAUAAACAAGCACCCACAAGCAGGGUUGUUUAGAUUUGUAAUCUGGAGACAGGAAGGACUGAUUUUUGUCACCAAACACUCGUGGGACAAGUCACUGACAAGGGCACACAGAAAGCAAAGGGAAUGGAAAGCAGUUAAAUGAGAAGGAAUGUCUUUGCCAUGGGCUGCAGCUGCUUGAAAUGCAUUGGGAUCCUCAAGAGAAGAGACAAGUAAUAGAUUACAGAGCUUUGGUGCAAGCAAAGGGACCCGUUUCCAGUCGUCUUAACCAAAAUUGCAGUAACUGCAACAGGUGAGACAUGGCUUGUGGCCCCGAGAUGGCAAACUGGUUCACAGGCUGCAGUGUCUGUAUCAGUUCCUAAAGCUGCUUGUAGGAAUUCACCCAGCCUAAAGAACCUCCUGGGAUCCCAGCUUUUACAUUCCCAUUUCAAAAUGCAUGGGUAAGAGAAAACAAUUUAUAUUCAUAACCUUAAGUAAAUAAAUUGUCACUUUAACUACACGUUUUAUUGUAAUUAAAUGCUUUUCAGUAAUAAGCAACCCACACCAUGAAGGAGUUUCCUAAUAUAACAGUAAGCUAAGUUCCCAGUUGUGAGCAGAAUUAGGAAGCUUUUAAAAGCACAGACCAAUUAAUAUGGCAGAGCCAUGUUGCACAGUUCUCAACAUGUGGAGGAAAGGUGUUUUUGCUAGAGAGCUUUAUCCUUAUUUUCCAUUGCUGUGUGGUCAGCACCUCACCUGCCGGAUUUCCCACUAGGAUUUAUACCCAGCAUUAGGCUGACUCUGCUUCUGGUGGUUUUGCCUGACUCUUAACAGGAACAGACCUGAGGCAGAUUUAAACCUUCCCCAGCUUUCUAAGGACUCACUGCUGUCACCUCUCCAUAAUGCAGCUACAAUUAACUUUGCUGGAAUUUCUAUAUUUGAAGCAGCUUUAAAUUAGAGGCUGAACUUACAGACGUGGAUGCAGAUGGUCUUUGCUACUGUCUGUAUGAGCCCUUGGGUUUUGCACUAAAAAAGCCCACCCACACUGACAAAUUUGCCCUUUGCGGUCUGGCUUCAGUGCAACUGGUAAAAAUAGUGAGUGAUACGACAGACAGAAAGGGCCCUAAACUAUAUUUUUUGAUCGCUUUUCUUAGCUCUAGACUAAAGAGCAAGGCAUCCGAUGUUGACAGAUUAAAGGGGAAUAUACCAAGCAAAGGGAUCUGCUACCAAGAUGCCCAUAAACCGAGAGUUCUGCCAUCCUCCAGAAUGUGAACUCUUCCUUUGGUUCUUAGUUGUAUUUUGAUCAAAGUGUAAAUACCAGCAAUUGGCACAUUUCAGAUAGUGUCAGAGCCGUGGACCAAAGCUUUCUUCAGGUUCAGUCUUUAGCACUGCUUUACUCAUCUGUGGGUUUUGUUAGGGCUUCUGGGACAUAGCUCAUUAUUUUUACCACUGUAACCAGCAGAGUGGCCGUAUCAUCAUUUCCCCUUAAAUCCAGGAGAGCAAGUCUGCCCUAUUGGGCAGGGAACUUAAUUGUGAGAAGGCUUUGGAGGGCGGUUGGCACUGGAUGCUAGCUGUACUAUUAGCAUAUUACUGCCCCUGAAAAGAACAAUCCAAGCUCUAAUGCAUAUACGCAAGUCCCACCAGCUCGAUGGGUACCAAAGCACGCCCACACUUGAGCUGGAGACUCCUCUGCUCAGACAAGGAGGAUUACGGACAUCAUAUGGCUAAUUCUGAAAUGACGGUGUAUGCUUAAUUGGUAAAGGACUGCAUUUUCUAUCUUUUUUUAACCCAGGACAUAGCAUCAAAGGUCUGCCUGAUAUUCGAGGUUCAUUUCAGGUAUUUCCUUCAUUGAGAUUCACUGUACCUAAGGUUACUGUGACCUCUGGCUUUGUCUUGUGCUCUUCAGCACUAUGAGAAGCCAGUAUUCAAAUUCCCCUGAAACAUAAGGCUGUGCUGCUCUCGCAGCUCACAAAGAGCCUUCUCUGAACCUCAGGUACAAAAGCUUUGGCUGUUUCAGGAGCCAGUGGCCAGGAGUCACAAAAAGCAUGAUAUUUAUGUAAGUGGACUACAGUACCAAACUUUAGACAUUCAUUCUAAUGUCCUGCUUUCAAGAUCUCUGCCUCAGUUUCCCUGUAAAAUGCAAAUACAGCAUUGGUGGUGCUUAGCUCAUUAAAAGAAAUAAAUA